rnacentral:rRNA from 1 species
GAUGAACGCUGGCGGCGUGCCUAAUACAUGCAAGUCGAGCGAACGGACGAGACGCUUGCUUCUCUGAUGUUAGCGGCGGACGGGUGAGUAACACGUGGAUAACCUACCUAUAAGACUGGGAUAACUUCGGGAAACCGGAGCUAAUACCGGAUAAUAUUUUGAACCGCAUGGUUCAAAAGUGAGAGACGGUCUUGCUGUCACUUAUAGCUGGAUCCGCGCUGCAUUAGCUAGUUGGUAAGGUACCGGCUUACCAAGGCAACGAUGCAUAGCCGACCUGAGAGGGUGAUCGGCCACACUGGAACUGAGACACGGUCCAGACUCCUACGGGAGGCAGCAGUAGGGAAGCGUGCGAAAUGGGCGAAAGCCUGAAGGAGCAACGCAGCGUGAGUGAUGAAGGGCCUCGGAUCGUAAAACGCUGUUAGUAGGGAAGAACAUAUGUGUAAGUAACUGUGCAUAUCUUGACGGUACCGAAUCAGAAAGCCACGGCUAACUACGU